UACGGAGGGUGCGAGCGUUGUUCGGAAUCACUGGGCGUAAAGGGCGUGUAGGCGGUCCGCUAAGUCUGAUGUGAAAGCCCGGGGCUCACCCCCGGAAGGGCAUUGGAAACUGACGGACUCGAGUCCCGAAGAGGAGGGUGGAAUUCCUGGUGUAGCGGUGAAAUGCGUAGAUAUCAGGAGGAACACCGGUGGCGAAGGCGGCCCUCUGGACGGUGACUGACGCUGGAGACGCGAAAGCGUGGGGAGCAAACAGG
rnacentral:rRNA from 1 species